rnacentral:rRNA from 1 species
GAUGAACGCUGACAGAAUGCUUAACACAUGCAAGUCUUUGGCGAAUCUGUGCUUGCACAGGCUAGCCAAGGCGGACGGGUGAGUAACGCGUAAAGAACUUGCCCUGCAGACAGGGAUAACAGACGGAAACGACUGAUAACACCUGAUAUAGUUGCCGGCACGCAUGUGCCUGGCAAUGAAAAGAGAUGCUGCAGGAGAGCUUUGCGUCCUAUUAGCUUGUUGGUGAGGUGACGGCUCACCAAGGCGAUGAUAGGUAGCCGGCCUGAGAGGGUGAACGGCCACAAGGGGACUGAGAUACGGCCCUUACUCCUACGGGAGGCAGCAGUGGGGAAUAUUGGACAAUGGGGGCAACCCUGAUCCAGCAAUUCUGUGUGCACGAAGAAGGUUUUCGGAUUGUAAAGUGCUUUCAGCAGGGAAGAAGAAAGUGACGGUACCUGCAGAAGAAGCGACGGCUAAAUACGUG